UACUUUAUUGGCAAAAAUAGACCUGACAAACAGAUGGGUUGGGCAAUCCGUGGGCGGAUCAUUAUAUCCGCAGGUUAUUUGGGUAUUGGUAAAAUUUACUCGCAAAUUUUUGGGUAGCCAACAUUUUUACCCAUACCCGCCCGCGGGUGGGCGGAUGGGUAUGCGGGUUACCCGUAAUUUUUUUUUCUUUUUUUUCUUAUAUUUUUUAAAUACAAAUGCAUAUAAAUAAGUUUUAAAAAUAUAGCAUAAUUCAUUAUUUAAAAUAUCAUAACAUAAAAAAAAAAUAUAUUUAAAGUCUUAAAACAAAAAAAUUUCGUAAUAUAAAAGACGCGGUAAGAAAUUAGGGUUAGAAUUUUUAAGAUGGAUAAAUAAAAAUAUAUGUAUUUUAAUUAAGAAAAUAUAUUUUUUAAUUAAAAAGUAUAUGGGCGGGUACCCGUGGGUACCCGCGGGUUACCCAAAAUGCCCACAGCUUAAUGGGUACCCGUCCGUUUUACCCGUAAUUUUUUAGAUUUGAAAAGUUGGUACCCAUACUCGCAAAUUUGCGGGUAACCCGCGGGCACCCGCGGGUAUGGAUCGAGAUUGCCAGGUCUAGCAAAAAAAUAU
rnacentral:lncRNA from 1 species